AUGAUUUAUCCCGAAGGUGCAAAUUUUUUGUGGACCACCCCACGCUUGUUAAAAAAGACAAUGAACAUUGUCUUUACCUUGGACUAGGAUAUUCUCGUUUUU
rnacentral:lncRNA from 1 species